rfam:Nematostella vectensis strain CH2 x CH6 NEMVEscaffold_380_Cont25563, whole genome shotgun sequence.
GUUGCGGUGGCCGAGUGGUUAAGGCGUUGGACUAGAAAUCCAAUGGGAUCUUCCCGCGCAGGUUCGAAACCUGCCCGCAACG